rnacentral:rRNA from 1 species
GACGAACGCUGGCGGCGUGCUUAACACAUGCAAGUCGAACGGAGAAUUUAUUUCGGUAAAUUCUUAGUGGCGAACGGGUGAGUAACGCGUAGGCAACCUGCCCUUUGGAUGGGGACAACAUUCCGAAAGGAGUGCUAAUACCGAAUGUGAUCCAUUUCUCGCAUGAGAGAUGGAUGAAAGAUGGCCUCUAUUUAUAAGCUAUCGCCAAAGGAUGGGCCUGCGUCUGAUUAGUUAGUUGGUGGGGUAACGGCUCACCAAGACGAUGAUCAGUAGCCGGUCUGAGAGGAUGAACGGCCACAUUGGGACUGAGACACGGCCCAAACUCCUACGGGAGGCAGCAGUGGGGAAUCUUCCGCAAUGGACGAAAGUCUGACGGAGCAACGCCGCGUGAGUGAUGAAGGUUUUCGGACUGUAAAACUCUGUUGUCAGGGACGAAGGUGCGAUCUGCGAAUAGUUGAUCGUAUUGACGGUACCUGACGAGGAAGCCACGG